rnacentral:rRNA from 1 species
UGCGGAGGAUCAUUAUCGAAUGUAAAUUCAUUGAGGGAAGAUAGAAUAGUCUAGGAUUGUCGCUGGCUCUCUACAUGUGUGCAUGUGCACGUCCUUGCUAUCUCUGUCGACCUUUCAACAUACACACACCUGUGCACCUAUUGUAGGUCCUUGCAAGAGGAUCUAUGUAUUUUCACUUCACAACCCUAUCGUAUGUCCAUAGAAUGUUAUCUCAAAGACCUUCCGAGCUUGAUUGAUCGGUCGGUCAAUGAAAUAAAAAUCAUAUACAACUUUCAGCAACGGAUCUCUUGGCUCUCGCAUCGAUGAAGAACGCAGCGAAUUGCGAUAAGUAAUGUGAAUUGCAGAUUUCCAGUGAAUCAUCGAAUCUUUGAACGCACCUUGCGCUCCUUGGUAUUCCGAGGAGCAUGCCUGUUUGAGUGUCAUUUAAUUCUCAACCAUGUCUUCAUUGACUUGGCUUGGAGUUGGGGGUUUGCUGGCGGUGUUCUCUAUCAUCAGCUCUCCUGAAAUGCAUUCGUGAUCAGUUGUUAUUAGGGCAUGCACGGCCUUUCGACGUGAUAAUGAUCGUCGAGGGCUGGAGUGUCCUUGACUUAACUAGAUCGCUUUCAUUACUUGCAAGCAAGCUCUUGCUUUUUGGUUAUUAGCUGGUCAACGGCGAACACCAAAGCGUAGACUUGACUUGACUUGACUUGACUUUUGAAACUUGACCUCAAAUCAGGUAGGACUACCCGCUGAACUUAAGCAUAUCAAUAAGCGGAGGAAAAGAAACUAACAAGGAUUCCCCUAGUAACUGCGAGUGAACCGGGAAAAGCUCAAAUUUUGAAUCUGGUAGUCUUUUGGCUGCCCGAGUUGUAAUCUAGAGAAGCGUUUUCCGCGCUGGACCGUGUACAAGUCUCCUGGAAGGGAGCGUCAUAGAGGGUGAGAAUCCCGUCUUUGACACGGACUACCAGUGCUAUGUGAUGCGCUCUCGACGAGUCGAGUUGUUUGGGAAUGCAGCUCAAAAUGGGUGGUAAAUUCCAUCUAAAGCUAAAUACAGGCGAGAGACCGAUAGCGAACAAGUACCGUGAGGGAAAGAUGAAAAGAACUUUGGAAAGAGAGUUAAACAGUACGUGAAAUUGCUGAAAGGGAAACGCUUGAUGUCAGUCGCGUCUACUGGGGAUCAACCUUGCAAUUCGUUGUUGGGUGCAUUUCCUGGUCGACGGGUCAGCAUCAGUUUCGAUCGUCGUACAAUGGCAAAGGGAAUGUGGCACUCUUUCGGGAGUGUGUUAUAGCCUUUUGUCGUAUGCGACGAUUGGGACUGAGGAACUCGGCAUGAACGCUCGU